rnacentral:rRNA from 1 species
UACGAAGGGGGCUAGCGUUGCUCGGAAUGACUGGGCGUAAAGGGCGCGUAGGCGGUUUGGACAGUCAGAUGUGAAAUUCCUGGGCUCAACCUGGGGGCUGCAUUUGAUACGUUCGGACUAGAGGUGGGGAAGAGGGUCGUGGAAUUCCCAGUGUAGAGGUGAAAUUCGUAGAUAUUGGGAAGAACACCGGUGGCGAAGGCGGCGACCUGGUCCUUGACUGACGCUGAGGCGCGAAAGCGUGGGGAGCAAACAGG